rnacentral:tRNA from 1 species
CAGAAAAUAGUUUAUUUUAAAAAUAUUAGUUUUGGAGACUAAAGAUGUGUAUAUUUAUAUUUUUCUGA